rnacentral:rRNA from 1 species
AAAUUGAAGAGUUUGAUCAUGGCUCAGAUUGAACGCUGGCGGCAGGCCUAACACAUGCAAGUCGAACGGUAACAGAAAGAAGCUUGCUUCUUUGCUGACGAGUGGCGGACGGGUGAGUAAUGUCUGGGAAACUGCCUGAUGGAGGGGGAUAACUACUGGAAACGGUAGCUAAUACCGCAUAACGUCGCAAGACCAAAGAGGGGGACCUUCUGGCCUCUUGCCAUCGGAUGUGCCCAGAUGGGAUUAGCUUGUUGGUGGGGUAACGGCUCACCAAGGCGACGAUCCCUAGCUGGUCUGAGAGGAUGACCAGCCACACUGGAACUGAGACACGGUCCAGACUCCUACGGGAGGCAGCAGUGGGGAAUAUUGCACAAUGGGCGCAAGCCUGAUGCAGCCAUGCCGCGUGUAUGAAGAAGGCCUUCGGGUUGUAAAGUACUUUCAGCGGGGAGGAAGGGAGUAAAGUUAAUACCUUUGCUCAUUGACGUUACCCGCAGAAGAAGCACCGGCUAACUCCGUGCCAGCAGCCGCGGUAAUACGGAGGGUGCAAGCGUUAAUCGGAAUUACUGGGCGUAAAGCGCACGCAGGCGGUUUGUUAAGUCAGAUGUGAAAUCCCCGGGCUCAACCUGGGAACUGCAUCUGAUACUGGCAAGCUUGAGUCUCGUAGAGGGGGGUAGAAUUCCAGGUGUAGCGGUGAAAUGCGUAGAGAUCUGGAGGAAUACCGGUGGCGAAGGCGGCCCCCUGGACGAAGACUGACGCUCAGGUGCGAAAGCGUGGGGAGCAAACAGGAUUAGAUACCCUGGUAGUCCACGCCGUAAACGAUGUCGACUUGGAGGUUGUGCCCUUGAGGCGUGGCUUCCGGAGCUAACGCGUUAAGUCGACCGCCUGGGGAGUACGGCCGCAAGGUUAAAACUCAAAUGAAUUGACGGGGGCCCGCACAAGCGGUGGAGCAUGUGGUUUAAUUCGAUGCAACGCGAAGAACCUUACCUGGUCUUGACAUCCACAGAACUUUCCAGAGAUGGAUUGGUGCCUUCGGGAACUGUGAGACAGGUGCUGCAUGGCUGUCGUCAGCUCGUGUUGUGAAAUGUUGGGUUAAGUCCCGCAACGAGCGCAACCCUUAUCCUUUGUUGCCAGCGGUCCGGCCGGGAACUCAAAGGAGACUGCCAGUGAUAAACUGGAGGAAGGUGGGGAUGACGUCAAGUCAUCAUGGCCCUUACGACCAGGGCUACACACGUGCUACAAUGGCGCAUACAAAGAGAAGCGACCUCGCGAGAGCAAGCGGACCUCAUAAAGUGCGUCGUAGUCCGGAUUGGAGUCUGCAACUCGACUCCAUGAAGUCGGAAUCGCUAGUAAUCGUGGAUCAGAAUGCCACGGUGAAUACGUUCCCGGGCCUUGUACACACCGCCCGUCACACCAUGGGAGUGGGUUGCAAAAGAAGUAGGUAGCUUAACCUUCGGGAGGGCGCUUACCACUUUGUGAUUCAUGACUGGGGUGAAGUCGUAACAAGGUAACCGUAGGGGAACCUGCGGUUGGAUCACCUCCUUACCUUAAAGAAGC